GAGGAAAGUCCGAGCUACACAGGGCAGAGUGCCGGAUAACGUCCGGGCGGCGUGAGCCGACGACCAGUGCAACAGAGAGCAGACCGCCGUGUAAACGGUAAGGGUGAAAGGGUGCGGUAAGAGCGCACCGUGCCUCCGGUAACGGUUGGCAGCAGGGUAAACUCCACUCGUAGCAAGACCAAAUAGGAAUCCAAUGAGUGGCCCGCUCAGGAUUCGGGUAGGUUGCUUGAGCGGCAGAGUAAUUUGUCGCCUAGAGGAAUGAUUGUCCACGACAGAACUCGGCUUA
rnacentral:RNase_P_RNA from 1 species